rnacentral:rRNA from 1 species
ACACGAACCGUACGAACGUUAUUCGGAAUUACUGGGCUUAAAGAGUGCGUAGGCGGCGCGGAAAGUUGGGUGUGAAAUCCCUCGGCUCAACCGAGGAACUGCGCUCAAAACUGCCGUGCUUGAGGGAGACAGAGGUGAGCGGAACUGAUGGUGGAGCGGUGAAAUGCGUUGAUAUCAUCAGGAACACCAGUGGCGAAGGCGGCUCACUGGGUCUCUUCUGACGCUGAGGCACGAAAGCUAGGGGAGCGAACGGGAUUAGAUACCCCGGUAGUCCUAGCUGUAAACGAUGAGCACUAGGUCGAGGGGACUUCCACAUCCUCACGGCCGUAGCGAAAGUGUUAAGUGCUCCGCCUGGGGAGUAUGGUCGCAAGGCUGAA